UACGAAGGGUGCAAGCGUUACUCGGAAUUACUGGGCGUAAAGCGUGCGUAGGUGGUGAGUUAAGUCUGUCGUGAAAGCCCCGGGCUCAACCUGGGAAUGGCGAUGGAUACUGGCUCGCUAGAGUGCGGUAGAGGAGAGUGGAAUUCCCGGUGUAGCAGUGAAAUGCGUAGAGAUCGGGAGAAGACAUCAGUUGCGAAGGCGGCUCUCUGGACCAGCACUGACACUGAGGCACGAAAGCGUGGGGAGCAAACAGG
rnacentral:rRNA from 1 species